AUGAAGACUACUGAUCUAGAAUUGCCGUAUGUUCAUGAACAAUUUUUUGUUGCUGAAAUAAGUCCUAGAGCAGGCUUCGCUGCGACAAGAUGUCUUCUUGCUGAACAACGCCACAAUUGGAUAGUUGUAUGUUAUUUAGGAUUGCCUCUGUUGCAUACCACCUGGAGUUACAAGAGGUCCUGUACUAAUUUUGUGUAUGUAUCUGUUCUAUAUACACAUGAUUUCAAAGCAUCUUUUCCUAUACAUUUUGUUUCUUUGCUCGGUACAAAAUGUAUUGCAAGUGUUGUUCAUUGUUUUUUUCCUUUUAUGUAA
rnacentral:rRNA from 1 species